UACGUAGGGUGCAAGCCGUUAAUCGGAAUUACUGGGCGUAAAGCGUGCGCAGGCGGCUUUGCAAGACAGAUGUGAAAUCCCCGGGCUCAACCUGGGAACUGCAUUGUGACUGCAUGGCUAGAGUACGGUAGAGGGGGAUGGAAUUCCGCGUGUAGCAGUGAAAUGCGUAGAUAUGCGGAGGAACACCGAUGGCGAAGGCAAUCCCCUGGACCUGUACUGACGCUCAUGCACGAAAGCGUGGGGAGCAAACAGG
rnacentral:rRNA from 1 species